rnacentral:rRNA from 1 species
AGCGAACGCUGGCGGCAGGCCUAAUACAUGCAAGUCGAACGCCCCUUCGGGGGAGUGGCGGACGGGUGAGUAACGCGUGGGAACGUGCCCUUUGGUUCGGAACAACACAGGGAAACUUGUGCUAAUACCGAAUGUGCCCUUCGGGGGAAAGAUUUAUCGCCAUUGGAGCGGCCCGCGUUGGAUUAGCUAGUUGGUGGGGUAAAGGCCCACCAAGGCUCCGAUCCAUAGCUGGUCUGAGAGGAUGAUCAGCCACACUGGGACUGAGACACGGCCCAGACUCCUACGGGAGGCAGCAGUAGGGAAUCUUGCGCAAUGGGCGAAAGCCUGACGCAGCCAUGCCGCGUGAAUGAUGAAGGUCUUAGGAUUGUAAAAUUCUUUCACCGGGGAAGAUAAUGACGGUACCCGGAGAAGAAGCCCCGGCUAACUUCGUGCCAGCCGCCGCGGUAAUAC